CACCUGACUACAAAAAGAGAAUGAGACAGACAGAGCUCUGAGAAAAAAUCCUGCUUCUUGUCACAAGAGGAGCUGCUGGUCCAAAAAGACAAACUUGAAAGAGAACUAUACACUAUAUAGUCUACCUGUGAACAGAAAAAGGUUUGCACGUUGUUAUGGACUUUUGAAGCUGGAACACUGGCCAAUUUUACAAGGCUCCCAUCUGAAGUUUUUUCACUUUUAAUAAAGAGGUGUUGAAGAAUGCUCCCAGAUAAUGCUGCCGAGUUGAAGUCUGGACUAAUUACGUAAGUGCCACUGUUCUAUUGUGUUUUGUGAUACGUUAUUGCUUCUGUAGACACUAGAUGUUGUCAGAAGAAUGAACUAAAGAUAAAGCAACAGUUUCCUGUUGCGAGAUAUCUUCGAGAUGAAAAAGAGCCCUUGUAAUGUGUACAGCACACUGUAAAAAUUCAAGCUGUUGACUGACUUCAUAGUACGCCGAUGUUGCAAAACUCAAGAUUUCUUUAUUGGCAUGCCGAGUUGGAGUCUGGAUGUGUUAGAUUGAAGUUUUUAGACGAAUGAUAAAGAGAAUGCAACAAUUGCCUGUGUACAGCUGGCGAGUUAUCUCGGAGAUGAAGAACGGCCCUUCAAGCUGUUCACUGACUUCAUAAGUCUAUCUUUGUGUAUCUGCACAAAAACAAGACGAAUAUAAUGCCACCGUGGGAUGUGAAGACACGGACGUGAUAAUGAGAGACAUAAUUAUAUAAUGUAUAGCUGAACAGAAAUUAAUAUAUCUUGUUCUUGUCUUCUUUGUCUUUGAA